rnacentral:lncRNA from 11 species
GGUGGAUAGAAAGAAUGAAAUCAACGCAACAUAGAAAUGUAUUGACUACUGUUAGCAGCUGGAUCUUAUGUUCACAAACACCAGUGGGACCCAAGCUUGAAGAUCUGCUUUUAUCAUCUAAUGAAGCUAGAGACAGCCAGUAAAUGAAUGCAGUUGGUUGCGAUAUUACAUACAGAUAGUCCUUUCUUUGGGAUUAUUCAGGUAAGUUAUGCAUAACCUUCACUUGACUUGAAAUAGAUCGUCUGGUUUUAGA